rnacentral:rRNA from 1 species
UACGGAGGGUGCAAGCGUUAUCCGGAUUCACUGGGUUUAAAGGGUGCGUAGGUGGUCUGUUAAGUCAGCGGUGAAAGCCUGGAGCUCAACUCCAGAAUUGCCAUUGAUACUGACGGACUUGAAUCAAGUUGAGGUGGAUGGAAUAUUACAUGUAGCGGUGAAAUGCUUAGAUAUGUAAUAGAACACCAAUUGCGAAGGCAGUUCACUAAGCUUGCAUUGACACUGAGGCACGAAAGCGUGGGGAUCAAACAGG